UGCCCAGAUGGGAUUAGCUAGUAGGUGGGGUAAUGGCUCACCUAGGCGACGAUCCCUAGCUGGUCUGAGAGGAUGACCAGCCACACUGGAACUGAGACACGGUCCAGACUCCUACGGGAGGCAGCAGUGGGGAAUAUUGCACAAUGGGCGCAAGCCUGAUGCAGCCAUGCCGCGUGUGUGAAGAAGGCCUUCGGGUUGUAAAGCACUUUCAGCGAGGAGGAAGGUGGUGAACUUAAUACGUUCAUCAAUUGACGUUACUCGCAGAAGAAGCACCGGCUAACUCCGUGCCAGCAGCCGCGGUAAUACGGAGGGUGCAAGCGUUAAUCGGAAUUACUGGGCGUAAAGCGCACGCAGGCGGUUUGUUAAGU
rnacentral:rRNA from 1 species